UUGAAUCAACCUUUUUUUACGUCAUCCGAGUGUAUAUUCUUCGAAAGUUUCUUGCACGGAUUGCUGUUUUCCCUUUGAAGCAAACAACUGUUUGGAAAAGGUAGAGACAUUGGUCACAGCUUUUCCUUAUUGCACUGUAUUAAUAGCAAUGCUGAUCGGAUAGCUAGCCAACCAUUUGUCUCUUCCAAAUGUAAGAAACUCAUGUUGUGCAACAAAUAUUUAUAUAUAUAUAUAUAUAUAUAUAUAUUGUUGUUUAAACCUGUGCAAAGCGAGUAUUCUCGCUCAGCUUAAGCACAUUCAUACAUGGAGCCACUUACCCUCACAGGGGAACUCUGGUUUGAUGUUUCAUGCGGAGACUCUGUAAUUACAUCCUUCAUCUAUUGUGUUAGAUAUUCACCAUAUGAUACCCACAGCGCUCAGCAGGUCACACGAUCCAAACAAUAUUGGCAACGCAUCAAAAUGUGUUUCGCAACACUUGCUCGGCUGUGUAGAACCACUAACAUGCAGAUUCAUCGUCCGCACUUCAAUCUUUAUUUGCAGCAACAAUAAUACAUUCAAGUUCUUUUUUGUUUGGAUUCUGUUGAAAGCGGCAAGUGCAAGGAUUCAUGCAGGUUCCUCUUUGGUGGUUCGGUCUCUCAUAUGCUUCAUUUCUCGCCCCAGGUAGCAACCUGAGUCUACUUCAUGAACAUCUGCAUAGCGCUACCGUAGAAAACGCCAUUAAUCAUGAUAUCUAUCAACGCAUGGCGCAGAUUCCGUUCAGAACAGAGAGUCUGCAUUGACGUCGUGCUUUACUAGAGUUUAGAGUUUUGGGACAAAAGGUUUCCCAACGCAUCUGCCUCUAUCCGUCAAGUUACUAGAAAUCGCUUUUCGCAAACUUUCAAAAUCUGCUAGAUAAUUUGGGUAGAAAUGAAAAAUAGAGUCAUGAAGUCUUCUUUUUCCACUUUCCAAUUCACAGCGUUGGGAAAAGCAUCGCUGUUGGAUAGAGAUCAUUGAUUCAAUAAGUACAAACGUUCGAAGCCAUCUACAGCAACACGUGAAACCAUCGUGUAAACUUCAUUCGCCAACAGGGCAAUGACCUGAAGUUUUCAUUUCGACGAAACAACUGAGAAAACAAGCUGAUACAAUAGGACACCAUACUUUCCCUCAUCAGGACGUAACACUUUGAUGUACAAAUGCAAACAGGGGGAAGAGUCAAAGACGGAAGCGGAGGAUGAUGGGUCGUCAAUGGCGGCGAAUCUCUCCAGCACAACUCACCCGUGUCUUGGUUGUGUUCGGGGGAGUUCUGGAUGCCACAGUGGAGAGAAGCAGGCAGUCUGAGGAACCUUUCAAAUCCUACCUUAAUCACAUAUGAAGAAGAUUGGACAAAGAAUUCGAAGACAGUUGCUGUACAUGUACCCGUGUUGAGUGAAAUGCGAUAAUUCUGAGAAGAAGCUUGUAAUUUCAGCUAAGUCACGAGGUUUCUGGUCCUGGGCCAUUGCAAAUGCGAUUUUGUAUCGGUUUGAGAAGAGGGUUGCAUUGAGAACCUAAGGAGAAGAGGUGGAGAGAUUGUCGUCGAACCAAAUGAGCUCUGCAGCAUACAUUUGGACGCGUGGUUUGGUGGAAUAGAAUUUUGAGGGUGUUGGCAUUGUGAGAAUCUGGGGGCAGUUGCGGGGGUUUGAUGGGACCUAGCUAUGGCGAUUUGCGGGGUGUGGUUGGAUCUGUCGCAACGCUUGCCUGUGCGCGCCCAAGGUCUGCUAAUCCGACUCUCAACUCGCCUCGGGCACUCUUACUGACGUGCUCAGGUGGGUCUAUGCAUUCUCCUCUUUUUCUUCUGCAGAUUACAGGGAUUCUAAGUGAGGGGGAAUUCAACUCCAGAACAGGUGAACUAGAUGUUCUUGUUGCUUUUGUUGAGUUGAACAUAUUAAACCUGCUGGAUCGACGCCCCGUCGGAUAGAACCUACCAGGAUAUAGACAUCAACUUCGUAACUACCUUGAACAAUUAGACUAUUAGGUACUUAAUCCUGGUUAUCGAUCCAAACAUAAAUAGGAUAUCCACCGAACAAGGGUAACUUUUGCUAUAUAAAAACAACUCUCUGUGAAUGGAACACUGUUCACUUGUUCUAUCACCUGUAGUGGUGUCCUACCGUUCGGGGUUAAUCUUUGUGUUCAGUGAUUUUUACGCUUGCUGUGAAUUGUAGAACGCUGUGGGUCAUUGGUAUUGUAUGCUGACUUCUUUCCGUUUUGUGACCUAGCUCGAUAAAGCACGAAUCAACAGGUUUGACAGCAAAAUUUCCUCACUCGGAACAGUUCCAAUGAGGCGUCUAAUCAGAUUUCCGCCGUUUUAGAGCAAGUGCAGCAUUGUCACAUGCACGAAUUAUUUUUGUGACAAACAUUGUUAUGUCAAAGAAGGUAAAAUCUUCGACGAUUCUCUGCAUAAAUACGCGACGUUGAGAAUGUUGAAUCGAACGGGACUCAUCCGAAGGACAGGAUUGUGAUUCUGCCAUUUAUUUUUAUUUUUUUGAGUUUCUGUUAACUGGAAAACAUUCUCCUCAACCCUGUAACGAGAUUCUUUCUGGCGUGGGGUUUCGAUUCUGGUCUACCCGAGAUUUAUUAAGUAAAAGUUUUUGACAACAGUGUGUGUGGAAAAACAUUCUACUUUAUCUUCGUUUUUUUAUUUAUCAUUUCCCUUUUUCA
rnacentral:lncRNA from 1 species